CCUACGGGCGGCUGCAGUCGAGAAUCAUUCACAAUGGGGGAAACCCUGAUGGUGCGACGCCGCGUGGGGGAAUGAAGGUCUUCGGAUUGUAAACCCCUGUCAUGUGGGAGCAAAUUAAAAAGAUAGUACCACAAGAGGAAGAGACGGCUAACUCUGUGCCAGCAGCCGCGGUAAUAAAGAGGUCUCAAGCGUUGUUCGGAAUCACUGGGCGUAAAGCGUGCGUAGGCUGUUUCGUAAGUCGUGUGUGAAAGGCGCGGGCCCAACCCGCGGACGGCACAUGAUACUGCGAGACUAGAGUAAUGGAGUGGGAACCGGAAUGCUCGGUGUAGCAGGGAAAUGCGUAGAUAUCGAGAGGAACACUCGUGGCGAAGGCGGGUUCCUGGACAUUAACUGACGCUGAGGCACGAAGGCCAGGGGAGCGAAAGGGAUUAGAUACCCCUGUAGUC
rnacentral:rRNA from 1 species